rnacentral:lncRNA from 1 species
UUCAAUUGCCCAUUGAUCCUAAAUUAUCAGGUUAACGGUCCAGAAUACAGGAGCCAGGCAAACACAAGGAAACUUUUUGGGUUGAAUUUCAUCAUGUAUAUUUUUUUCAAAUUCUUAGGUUGUAAUGUAAAAAAAUGUUCAGGUGACUUGUAGGAAGUGGCUGGAAGUGGAAAAAUACGAAUUAAAUCCAUUAUCAGUAUGUACUGUACGCUUAAUGUCCAGGAUUUAAGAAUCCUAAAGCAAGGAAGGGAAAAAAAGGGAGGGAUUGGUAAAAAAAUUUUCAUAGUGAGGUCCGUUGAAAAAUCAAAAUUAUUUUUAAAAUAAUUCUAAGUAAUAUAGAUUGGUAAUUUGAUAAUAUAAAGAAAUAAGAAUAAGAUUGAAAAAUGUUGACAAAACUGUAUCUAAGAUGAUUGUGGCUAUUCUGUGGGAUCUACCUCAUUACAUAUUAAUUUUUUAACAUUUAUAUUUCAGGCUAUUGUCAUUAUUUUUUAAUUUUAAGUGAAUAUUUUUCAUUCACUAAUAAUUUACCCCAUCAAAGUUAGUCGUCAUCAUUACUGUCAAUAAUAUUACUAGUAUCAACACUGCCAUCACUAUUAUUACUACUAUGACCGCCACUUUCAUAUUGCUAAUUUUUUAAUGUUUGUAUGAAAUCUUUUUCCCCCCACAGGACAGAUGCGUGAUAGUGUUCUGCGGCGCCUUUAUGCAUUAAAUAUCCAGCAAUUUUCCCGGUUGGAGCAGUUGUUGAGACAGCCGGCAGACAAUUCAGCAACACCCCCACCCCAAAUUCCGAACACCGAGCCGGAGACUCUCAUGUCAAAAUGCCCUUUAAGAAGUGUUGCUGAUUUCAGAAAUUUGAAAAGAUUUUCAAAAGCAAGGCUAAACGUAACCUAAUGAGACAAGAGCUGAAGCUGCACAUGUCUGACAGUCCCAAAUCAUCAUGCCGUUCCAUUGCAGCACUAAUUUUUGCUGACGAACUUGCCGAACACUUUACCUGGAAGGGUCGCUCAUCAAGAAACCAAGCCAUGAAAAAAGAAAGAUUUAUGGACACGAGAGUAUACAACCUCAUUUAUCAAGCUAUCAACUUGUGUUUCCCUACCGAGAAAAUGACUGCUGAAGUAUAUAAGAAAAACCUUCAGAAUUUCUUUAUUCAAGCCAAAUUUCGUAUACUAAGAAAACAAGAAAGAGCAGCAGCUAGGGUAGCCAGACGUCAAGCAGCUGCAAGUUUGGAAGCGGGAGAAUCGUCCGAAUCGGAACCUGAAAGCGACUAAGUAUCUUGAUCGAAACUUUGUAGCCUUCUUUUGUAUUCUUUUCUUUUUUUAUCUAAACAUCCAUUUUUGACUGUAUCUUGACCUACCUACAUCGAGAAGUCGCAUUUGUAAAACUGACACUUCUUUUAGUGUUGUGGGGCAUGAACAAGUUUUUAAACAAAAUUAAAGCCUGUUAAUCUUAGCUACACAGCCAGAAAUAAAAACGUCCACUGUGAUUGUCAAAAAUGCUCAAAAAGGAAGAAGACAAAUUUAUUUCAAAUUAAGGAAAGUAUUUAAAAAAAACUUCUUUCUCCCUAUUUUUUCCUUGAUUACUUUUAACAAGCACAAAAGUGUUUUCCAUAUUGCUUUUUACACAGAGGAGAUUAGUACCCUUCAUUCUUGUUCAGAAACUUGUUCAUGUCUCAAAAGUGCAGCUUUAAAAGCUACUGGUUCUUGUGCUUAUGAUGAAGGAGGGUCCUUAAUGAAUUUUUUUAUUAAAUUUCCUCUUGGAGCACUUAAAAAGUGUAAGUUUUACUUAUGGUCAUUUUCCAUUCUAGAGUGUUUAAGCUUUGACCCAAGUCUCUAAGGGAUGUAAGUCAACGUCAAUGGCUAGAAAGCAAUAAUGAAAGCCUUAAAUGCGGUUUUUCUUUAUGGGCCCUUUUUUGGAGAGGUCUUCAAUUAUAUUCCUAACUCUUAACUUAAAGUUACUAAAAAUACUUAAUUCUAGGUACCUUUAAAGUGUGAUAUGUACUGAAGUAAACUUUAUUAAUACGUAAAACGUAUGUACGUACGUAAGUGUUACGUAUUUUACUUAAAUGUUACGUAUUUUACUUUAAUGUUACGUAUUUUACGUAAAAUUUGCAAUACUUGAGUCAGGUUUUUUGUUACCUAAUACUUACCUAAAAUUUCUUUGUAAUAUUUGAGUCAAGUUUUUCUGUUACCAAAUGGUUGUUUGUUGACUCGUAUGUUAAAAGUAAUGUGCCUAAAUCAUUCCCUGAACCAAGUACAAUUUUUUGCCCCUGUCUUUUUUUCAAGUAGUAUUGAAUAUAUAUUUAAUGGCCUCGUACUCCCAACACCUCAAUUAAUUCUAAUUAAAUUGAUGUAUAUGUAUUAAACUACAUGUCACCUUCUGGCGAAAGUAUCACAAGUGCCAUUCAACGUUUCAAAAUUUCCGCCGCCAUUUUAUUUUUUAAUAGAGAAAAUGUUGGUUGAAUCUGUUAGAAAAUUUCAGUGAAUUUUCGUCGUGCUGCCGAUGAAAUUAAGUGAAAUUUUCAAACGGAUUCAACGAACAAUUUCUCUGUUACAAAUAAAAUGUCAGCGGAAAUUUUGAAACGUCGCAUGGCGCUUGUGAUACUUCGGCCUGGAGCUGACAACAUGAUGUUUUCAAAUUUCAAAAUUCUAUUUGUAAAUUUGCAUUACCAUCUCUUGAAAACAUAAUGUAGUUUAAUACAAUUUGAUACAGUAAUUAUUAUUAUUAUUUUUUUUUUACUUUUAACUCAAUUUAUACCUACUCCAAUUUAUUUGUAUCCAUUGCUUAGCCAGGCAAAUUUGGCAUCAUAGUGUAUUAAUUCUUAAUUUUCUAUUGAUAUUUCUGCACUGACUUUCUUUUCAAAAGUUGCCUCACUUUCUGAGGUUAUUAACUUCAGACAUUCUUCUGCGAAAAAGGCAUGCAGCCAUCGCUAUAUUCAAUUCAUCGUAUUGUUAAAUCAUUGUAUUGAUCGUAUGUGAUCUAUUGCUUAAUAACCAUUGCUUAGCCAGCCAAAUUUGGCAUCAUAGUGUAUUAGUUCUAAAUUUAAUUUUUGAAUAUUUCUGCACUGGCCUUCUUUUCAACAGUAAUAGUGUUGCCUCACUUUUUGAGUUUAUUAGUUUCAGACAUUUUCAUGCCGAAAGGGCAUGCAGCCAUCUCUAUAUUCAAUUCAUCGUAUUGUUGGAUCAUUGUAUUAAUCGUAUGUAAUCUAUUGCUCAGUAUCCAUUGCUUCGCUAGCCAAACUUGGCAUCAUAGUGUAUUAAUUCUAAAUUUGUUUUUUGAAUAUUUCUUUACUGGCCUUCAUUUCAACAGUACUCGAGAUGCCUCCUUUUCUGAGUUUAUUAGUUUCAGACAUUUUUAUGCCGAAAAGGCAUGCAGCCAUCUAUAUAUUCAAUUCAUUGUAUUGUUGAAUCUUUUUAUUAAUUGUAUGUGAUCUAUUGCUCUCAUUUUUUAUUAAUGUUUUCUCUUGUCCAAUGUAACUUUGAAUGUGUUCUCUUUAUAGUGAGUCAUAAUUUAAUUUUUUUGUUUUUUUUUAAAGUUAAGAAUAUUUUUCUCAUUCUUUUAUUUUUUGGAUUUAUUAUUUCAUACAUAUUUUUCUUGUUUAUUUCUGUUUAUAGUAAUAGGAUCUAUUUCAAUAAAUGGAUUUAUUUUUUCAAUAUUUUUUUUCUCUUUCCAAUCUAAUAACUAUCACUAUGCUAUGAGCUUCUUAGCUUUUCCUCCCAACUCUUAAUUUAAUUUUCUCAAAUAUUUUUUGAUUUUCAAUUUCUCUGAUUCACGAACCUCCGAAGAAAAAGUGCAGAGAAAUGAAGAUACCUUAAAAUUUUAUCAAAUCAUUUUUUACAGAUCUGUAUGUACGUUGACCUAAUCAGUCUCAGUUACCUACAAUGUUCGUUCCUGAAAAUGUUUUCAUUUGUUGCAAGCAUGUCCAUGUAAUUAUUUCCACCACUUUCUUUUAAUUAAUAAUUUCAUAUGUUUUUGUGAGAUUAGCUGUACCCUCUUAAAAUUAUCAAGUGUUGUUUUCAUCUUUGCAAAGUGAUUCCAAAAACAUUUUAGAGGCAUACUCCAAAAUAGCCACUGAUAUUUCCUCUUAGCUUCAUACGAAGUCAAUAUUUUUAAGCAGACAUGUCAACUUAAGUGAAUAUUAAUAACCGUUUGUUAGUACUACCUCUAUCAGAAAGAGUUACUAUCAUGUGUAGAUGAUUCUUUGAGUACAUUUUACAGUGUGGUUCG